rnacentral:tRNA from 1 species
GACAUUUUAACUAUACAAGUGUAUACUUUGAAAGUAUAAAAAAGGGAAGCCUAUUUGUCU